UACGGAGGGUGCGAGCGUUGUUCGGAAUCACUGGGCGUAAAGGGCGCGUAGGCGGCCUGAUAAGUAGGGGGUGAAAUCCUGCGGCUUAACCGCAGGGCUGCCUUCUAAACUGUCAGGCUGGAGCACAGUAGAGGCAGGUGGAAUUCCCGGUGUAGCGGUGGAAUGCGUAGAGAUCGGGAAGAACACCGGUGGCGAAAGCGCUCUACUGGACCUCAACUGAACCACUGAGGGACGAAAGCGUAAGGGGAGACGAAA
rnacentral:rRNA from 1 species